AACGAACGCUGGCGGCAGGCUUAACACAUGCAAGUCGAACGGGCGUAGCAAUACGUCAGUGGCAGACGGGUGAGUAACACGUGGGAAUAUCCCUUUCAGUUCGGAAUAACUCAGGGAAACUUGAGCUAAUACCGGAUACGUCCUUCGGGAGAAAGAUUUAUCGCUGAGAGAUUAGCCCGCGUCUGAUUAGCUAGCUGGUGAGGUAAUGGCUCACCAAGGCGACGAUCAGUAGCUGGUCUGAGAGGAUGAUCAGCCACACUGGGACUGAGACACGGCCCAGACUCCUACGGGAGGCAGCAGUGGGGAAUAUUGGACAAUGGGGGAAACCCUGAUCCAGCCAUGCCGCGUGAGUGAUGAAGGCCUUAGGGUUGUAAAGCUCUUUUGCCAGGGAAGAUAAUGACUGUACCUGGAGAAUAAGCCCCGGCUAACUUCGUGCCAGCAGCCGCCGUAA
rnacentral:rRNA from 1 species